rnacentral:rRNA from 17 species
CAGGCUUUGAGGAAACUCGGAGUCCAUUGCGAGACGAACGAUGUCUUGCAGAUUGAAAAGAAACCAAACAACAAAUUCCGAAUCCAAACAGUGGGUGUGGGUGUU